AGGAGGCGAAUGGCCUUGUGAAACUACGACUCCAGGAGGCCUCUCUUCUCUCCUUGGCCCUGCCACGCUUGGGAUUGAAUGAACCAGUUGUGAGCAACUGCGCUUGGAAGUUGAUGAGACAAUUCUGAACCUGGGUUGCUAGCACUAUUGAGGAACAUACAGCAAUGCAACUCCCCAGUUCUCUGAGCAGAGAAGAGCAGCAGGUCUGUAUGCUGAAAGUCCAAUGACAGAAAGGCUCGGAGCCAGAACCAUAGGUCCACAACGAUUAACAAUCCAUCCACAAGCACCUGACAGCCCCAGCACUAUCUGCACCAAGGCUGAGACCAGCACAGCACCAGAAAUCUGGAGAAAAAAGAGAGAACAGGGUUCAAAUGAUAUGCCUUGUUAUCUGUCUUUUGAGUGCUGGCCCCACCCACUUUGCUUCAGGAGGCAAGAUGGAUUGAGAGGCCUAUGGGGACAAUGCUGGUGGGAAAGCUAUAGGUAGAUUGGCAAUGAUUCAUAACACGGGUAAGAGAGGAGUCUGGAAAUGUACUGAUUUCUUUGCAGAACCUGAUCUACCAACAAUGAGGCAAAUGGUGUAGGCAUCAGAUACUGGAGGUCCACAGUUACCCCCAACCCACGGCUCUUCUCAAGUUCUCACUAUUUUCUUCUGUAGAAGGACAGAGCUACAUGGUCUGUCCUGCACCUUCUAAAUUGUUAUUUGGAAAAUGAAGGACUGCAUAUCUGCCAGUGAAGAAGGAAUAUUCAGCUGUCAGUACAGUUUGCUUUGUAUUUGAAAUAGAUAUACAGUAGAGUCUCACUUAUCCAACAUAAACGGGCCGGCAGAACAUUGGAUAAGCGAAAAUGUUGGAUAAUAAGGAGAGAUUAAGGAAAAGCCUAUUAAACGUCAAAUCACAUUAUGAUUUUACAAAUUAAACACCAAAAACAUCAUGUUUUACAACAAAUCGACAGAAAAAGCAGUUCAGUACAUGGUAGUGUUAUGUAGUAAUUACUGUAUUUAUGAAUUUAGCACCAAAACAUCACAAUAUAUUGAAAACAUUGACUACAAAAACAUUGGCUACUAACAAAUUGACUACAAAUAAAGAUUGAAUUGCAUAAAAUGAAUUUACAGUAGCAACAUUGUCGGAAAUUAAAUCCAUAAAAAGUUCAAUUCUUGCUGUCUAGAGAAAUAGCUGUGGAUCGGGGUGGGAGGCAAACUACGUUGGAUAAUCCAGAACAUUGGAUAAGUGGAUGUUGGAUAAGUGAGACUACUGUAUUUAAAAUCCAGUCAUUUAUAGCAUAAAUGUUAACUGGGAUUGAAGUGAGGGGGAUAGAAAGAGGGGAUAUGAGCAUUUGUAAGUGAGGGAAUGCAGUGAGAGGGUUAAAACAAAACUUUCCAAACAUUUCAUGUUGGUAACAUACUUUUUAGACAUGCAUCAUUUUGCAACACAGUAAUUCAGUUUUAGUAGGUUAAACCAACCUUUUGUGAGAGAUAUCAACACAUACAUACAUACACGGUAAUAACAAAAUCUAUGCUCCAAUUCUGUGGAACUCAUUGCCUCCAUAUGUUAGAGCAAUAUCGGAGUUGCGACCUUUUGGAAAAGCGCUCAAGACUUGGCUGUUUGGUUGUGCAUUUAAGUAAAUCAGAUCUAAUUUGCCAAAUAGUCACUGUUGAAUGUUUUUAGGUUGAAUGUUUUUAUGUUGAAUGUUUUUAUAUUGUGGAAUGAUAUUUUAAAUUGUAAGUCGCUCGGAGCACUCUGGUGGAGAGCGACUAAUUAAGAAGUGAAGUGAAGUAAAGAAGUGUAUGUGGACACAGCAUAUCUCAUGAAAACCUUUCAUUUAUAUAUUUGAAAUAUAUGAUUUAUUACUUCUUU